UACGAAGGGGGCUAGCGUUGUUCGGAUUUACUGGGCGUAAAGGGCGUGUAGGCGGCCACCGCAAGUCGGUUGUGAAAUCUCCGGGCUUAACCCGGAAAGGUCAACCGAUACUGCGGGGCUAGAGUGCAGAAGGGGCAACUGGAAUUCUCGGUGUAGCGGUGAAACGCGUAGAUAUCGAGAGGAACACCUGCGGCGAAGGCGGGUUGCUGGCUGACACUGACGCUGAAACGCGAAAGCUAGGGGAGCGAACGGG
rnacentral:rRNA from 1 species